rnacentral:sRNA from 1 species
GCCUAGCCCCGAUUGAAGCUUUGUUUGAGCUCUUUUUUGUUUUUUUUAAAACAAAAAAAGCGAGUGCGGAAAGCGGGAAAUUGC